GUGCUCGCUUUGGUAGCACAUGUACUAAAAUUGGAAUGCUACAGAGAAGAUUAGCAUGGCCCCUGUGCAAGGAUGACACACAUAUUUAUGAAGUAUUACAUAUUUUA